rnacentral:rRNA from 1 species
GACAAUGGGCGAAAGCCUGAUCCAGCAAUGCCGCGUGUGUGAAGAAGGCCUUCGGGUUGUAAAGCACUUUUGUCCGGAAAGAAAUCCUUGGCUCUAAUACAGUCGGGGGAUGACGGUACCGGAAGAAUAAGCACCGGCUAACUACGUGCCAGCAGCCGCGGUAAUACGUAGGGUGCGAGCGUUAAUCGGAAUUACUGGGCGUAAAGCGUGCGCAGGCGGUUUGCUAAGACCGAUGUGAAAUCCCCGGGCUCAACCUGGGAACUGCAUUGGUGACUGGCAGGCUAGAGUAUGGCAGAGGGGGGUAGAAUUCCACGUGUAGCAGUGAAAUGCGUAGAGAUGUGGAGGAAUACCGAUGGCGAAGGCAGCCCCCUGGGCCAAUACUGACGCUCAUGCACGAAAGCGCGGGGAGCAAACAGGAUUAGAUACCCUGGUAGUCCACGCCCUAAACGAUGUCAACUAGUUGUUGGGGAUUCAUUUCCUUAGUAACGUAGCUAACGCGUGAAGUUGACCGCCUGGGGAGUACGGUCGCAAGAUUAAAACUCAAAGAAAUUGACGGGGACCCGCACAAGCGGUGGAUGAUGUGGAUUAAUUCGAUGCAACGCGAAAAACCUUACCUACCCUUGACAUGGUCGGAAUCCCGCUGAGAGGUGGGAGUGCUCGAAAGAGAACCGGCGCACAGGUGCUGCAUGGCUGUCGUCAGCUCGUGUCGUGAGAUGUUGGGUUAAGUCCCGCAACGAGCGCAACCCUUGUCCUUAGUUGCUACGCAAGAGCACUCUAAGGAGACUGCCGGUGACAAACCGGAGGAAGGUGGGGAUAACGUCAAGUCCUCAUGGCCCUUAUGGGUAGGGCUUCACACGUCAUACAAUGGUCGGAACAGAGGGUUGCCAACCCGCGAGGGGGAGCUAAUCCCAGAAAACCGAUCGUAGUCCGGAUUGCACUCUGCAACUCGAGUGCAUGAAGCUGGAAUCGCUAGUAAUCGCGGAUCAGCAUGCCGCGGUGAAUACGUUCCCGGGCCUUGUACACACCGCCAUC